CCAUUUAUAGGCGUACCACUGCAUCUUUUUGUGUAGGUGUAUUUUCUCCCGUAUAGAAAAGCCUUCUGGUUUCGCAGUAUUUGAAUGCGUGUAAGAUGCUUCUGUGGUGCGUGUCCUGGCUGCUUAUGCUACACUAAGUACUUGAGUUGGUGCCAUUUCAAAGCAUGAACAGCGAUUCCUGUGCAAGGAAAAAGGAACUCCACCUAAAAGACAUAGGGCAGAGUUUGUGAGGGCUGGUUCUACAACUGCUCCUGCAUGAGAAUCAGAUAUUGCCUGCAAAUUUGGAUGGCAUGUAAAACAGAUAUUAAAAGUGUUGGCAACUCCUGGGCCCCGUGGCUGAGAGAUGAAACCUGCAGGACUAGAAGGAAGAUGCUGAGCCUUUAAUUGAUUCCCGAAGCAACGUGCAGGAAUCCACAGGAGGACAUUCUAUUGAUCACACAGCUUAAAUAUUUGGUAUCUAAAUCCUUCCCUGUCUCAUGGAGGUAAGCAUACUGCAGAAUGUCACGAAGAUGAAGACAGAAGCAAAAGAAGAAGAGAGGAAAACUUCUGGGAUCUGAAUACCUUUUUUCCCCCAUUUACUUUAGA